rnacentral:lncRNA from 1 species
CCGAUCAACCGUCUUCUGAGACACCUGCUUGGCCUCCAGCAGCUUCAGUUGCUUCGCCUUGAAGCCUGUUCCACCUUCUGAUGGCCUCUUGCAGGCUGUUGAAGUGGAAUUCACUCUUCUCAGCUGUAGAAGAAAUGUGAAGCAGCCCUUGCAGCUGUCUGCAGUGAACUAGAUAUACCUAAAUUUAUGAAUUUCAGGCCGAAUUUAAUUUCUUGCUGAAUAUAAGACAACGAGCC